UUGUGAUGAAAUUUCGAACUAAUGCUGGAAUUACCGGCAGAUUCUUAGUGGUGAUAAAUAGUUUUCUGAAC
ensembl:snoRNA small nucleolar RNA SNORD65